AGUAAAUUGGUUAAGUUAGAAAGGGCGCACGGUGGAUGCCUUGGCACUAGGAGCCGAAGAAGGACGGGACUAACACCGAUAUGCUUUGGGGAGCUGUACGUAAGCGUUGAUCCAGAGAUUUCCGAAUGGGGGAACCCACUAUCUUUAGUCGGAUAGUAUCCUUACGUGAAUACAUAGCGUGAGGAAGGCAGACCCAGGGAACUGAAACAUCUAAGUACCUGGAGGAAGAGAAAGAAAAAUCGAUUUCCUGAGUAGCGGCGAGCGAAACGGAAAGAGCCCAAACCAAGAAGCUUGCUUCUUGGGGUUGUAGGACACUCUAUACGGAGUUACAAAAGAAAGUUAUAAAUGAAGCGGUCUGGAAAGGCCCGCCAAAGACGGUAACAGCCCGGUAGUUGAAAUAGCUUUCCCUCCAGAGUGGAUCCUGAGUACGGCGGAACACGUGAAAUUCCGUCGGAAUCCGGGAGGACCAUCUCCCAAGGCUAAAUACUCCCUAGUGACCGAUAGUGAACCAGUACCGUGAGGGAAAGGUGAAAAGCACCCCGGAAGGGGAGUGAAACAGUUCC
rnacentral:rRNA from 1 species